CUGUAAGAGCCAGAGAGAAUGGAAGGUAUCGGAAGAAAAAGGACUUCUGAAUCAACUAAGCAAGGUACAUAUGAGCCAAAGAGGCUAAAGCAGCAAGCACAGGGCCAGAAUAUACAGGAGGUCCUCUGGAGACUUGAGAAGCUCAGUAUACAGAAACAUAGUUAGCUGUUCAUUUUCUCACCUCUCAUCCUUUCUCUCAAAAUAAUUAAACUCUAAUUAAGCUGAAAAUAACUUCUGAGCAAGUCAGAUUAUGUAACUGAUGUAACUGUGGGAGAGGGCAGCUGUAAUUCAGGACUGAGGCUCUGCAGUGACAUUCCUUCCCGCUAACACUGCGACAACAUGAAACCUGAAGUCUGCAGUACCUGAUGGCAGCCAAGACCUCCACAGAUCUAGACAGUACACAUAUGACCUGAUAAGUAUCACCUUCCCAGAGCUGCUCCAGAGUCUGUUUGUGCCACAGAGGUCCAGGUGAGAACAUGGAGAAAAACAGAGUGGGUGAUUGUAACCUUCACAAGGCUUGGGGAUUAGAUGCAGACAGCAUAUCACCCAUCUAUCUAAACACAAGGCUAACCCAUCUUUUAGUAUUUCCCAUUAUGUGCUGAGGUAAGUUGAUAGCAGGGUUUUGUAGAGGUUCUAAUCACUAAUGUUAAAUCUGUUAAUGCUGCAUAUGUCCUUGGUAUUAAUGUCCAGAGCAUUAUUCACUGUGUCCAGAUAUUUAGGAUGAUGUUGUGAUUUCCAAGAUGCUGUAGGGGAGCAGACGAAAGACAUUAAUUGACAAGGUCAUGAAGCCACCUAGAUACAAACCAAAGGAAAAAACAGGGUUCACAUAUACCAAGAGUUAGAAUACCAGGCUAUACAGACAUUUAAAUAAUCUUGUGAGAUUGACAGGAAGGGGAGCAGAGAACAGAGGCCUUCCAAGUACUCAGAACAUACAAACCCAUGGAGACACUGAAGCAAUUCAGAUUGUUCUUAUUCUAGGAAACAUUCACAAAGCUUACUAAAACUAUUCAAGAUAUGAAAAUGGAACUCCACAUCCUGAACAAUAACAUCAUGAAGAAGUCUUAAGUUCAGGAAUCAGUUUGGACUGAUGUAGAACAAAGCAUCCUGCUUGACAAACAUGUUGGAAAAGAAACAGGAAGAGUAGCAGGCUGUAAAGCAAGCUGAGAUAAGGCCCCACAGAAGCAGAUGCCACCAUGAACUCUUAGAUGAGAGAGUCCCUGCUCACAACUGUAUACCUCAACCUACUGUGCGGCAUGCAGCCAUAUUGAGAAUCCUUAACUCAUAAACUAUGCUUAUCAAAUGGCAGCAGCUAACACCUCAUGAAUCCCCUUCUCCCAUCCCUCUUUUUAAAAAAUUUUUAUUAGGUAUUUUCCUCAUUUACAUUUCCAAUGCUAUCCCAAAAGUCCCGCAUACCCUCCCC
rnacentral:lncRNA from 1 species